rnacentral:misc_RNA from 1 species
AACGCACAUUGCGCCCAUUGGUAUUCCGAUGGGCAUGCCUGUUCGAGCGUCAUUAUCAACCAUCAAGCCCGGCUUGUUAUUGGGUCCUGUAUCGUUAAAAGAUAGGCCCGAAAGAUAAUGGCGGCGUCGAGAUGGACCCCAGGUGCAGCGAGCUAAAAGCAUACACUGAGGUGGUCGUCUCGGCCCGGUCUUUAACCAUCUUAUUUCUAAGGUUGACCUCGGAUCAGGUAGGAUUACCCGCUGAACUUAA